rnacentral:rRNA from 1 species
CCUACGGGAUGCUGCAGUAGGGAAUAUUGCUCAAUGGGGGUAACCCUGAAGCAGCAACGCCGCGUGGAGGAUGAAGGUUUUCUGAUUGUAAACUCCUUUUUUUAGAGAAGAUAAUUACGGUAUCUAACGACUUAUCACUGUCUAACUCCGUUCCAGCUGCCGCGGUACUACGGAGGGUGCAAGCGUUACACGGAAUCACUGGGCGUAAAGCGGGCGUAGGCGGGAUAGCAAGUCAGAUGUGAAAUCCUAUGGCUUAACCAUAGAACUGCAGUUGAAACUGUUAUUCUAGAGUAUGGGAGAGGUAGGUGGAAUUCUUGGUGUAGGGGUAAAAUCCGUAGAGAGCAAGAGGAAUACUCAUUGCGAAGGCGACCUGCUAGAACAUAACUGACGCUGAUGCGCGAAAGCGUGGGGAGCAAACAGGAUUAGAUACCCCAGUAGUC